UACGUAGGCAGCGAGCGUUGUUCGGAAUUACUGGGGCGUAAAGAGUGUGUAGGCGGUGCUCUAAGUUCGGUGUGAAAUCUCCUGCUCAACUGGGAGGGUGCGCCGGAAACUGGAGUGCUUGAGCGUGGGAGAGGAAAGCGGAAUUCCUGGUGUAGCGGUGAAUGCGUAGAUAUCAGGAGGACACCUGUGGUUGUAGACGGCUUUCUU
rnacentral:rRNA from 1 species